rnacentral:ncRNA from 1 species
AAUUAGUCAAUGGUUGACUGAUUCGCUACUCAAGUAAUUUGUGCGUUGGUUACUUGACGGUAUCUCUUUUUCU